rnacentral:rRNA from 1 species
UACGGAGGGGGCUAGCGUUGUUCGGAAUUACUGGGCGUAAAGCGCGCGUAGGCGGCUUUGUAAGUUAGAGGUGAAAGCCCGGAGCUCAACUCCGGAAUUGCCUUUAAGACUGCAUCGCUAGAAUCAUGGAGAGGUGAGUGGAAUUCCGAGUGUAGAGGUGAAAUUCGUAGAUAUUCGGAAGAACACCAGUGGCGAAGGCGACUCACUGGACAUGUAUUGACGCUGAGGUGCGAAAGUGUGGGGAGCGAACAGG